rnacentral:rRNA from 1 species
AUUGAACGCUGGCGGCAUGCCUUACACAUGCAAGUCGAACGGCAGCGGACCUUCGGGUGCCGGCGAGUGGCGAACGGGUGAGUAAUGCAUCGGAACGUGCCAUUGAGUGGGGGGAUAACGUAGCGAAAGUUGCGCUAAUACCGCAUAUUCUGUGAGCAGGAAAGCAGGGGACCGCAAGGCCUUGCGCUCUUUGAGCGGCCGAUGUCAGAUUAGCUAGUUGGUGAGGUAACGGCUUACCAAGGCGACGAUCUGUAGCGGGUCUGAGAGGAUGAUCCGCCACACUGGAACUGAGACACGGUCCAGACUCCUACGGGAGGCAGCAGUGGGGAAUUUUGGACAAUGGGGGCAACCCUGAUCCAGCCAUGCCGCGUGAGUGAAGAAGGCCUUCGGGUUGUAAAGC